UGAGGAGUCACAUGGAAAACAUGCAUAAUAUUAAUAUGCACAAAGAAUUCUUACCGAGGACAAGCGCCUCACUACAGCUCAUGGGACAAACAGGUUCAUUAGGAGACAGCUCUGAGCGGCUACGGCAUUUUGGUAUUUUGAUUUUUUUUUCCCCCUUAGUUUAAAUGAAGAGCCAGACAGUUGUGCUUUCUUUGCAUGAGAGCAUUGAGAUGGAUCCAAUCUGUGAAAUUUGCUGCCCAAAUAGCAUUUCUAAUGGAACCUGGGACUAAACAAGGGCUUGGAUGUGGAAGGGAGGGGAGAAGAGAGAACCCACGAAGAGGAGGCUACUCAGCCACUGCGAGGCUUUUUGGUAGCACAGGAAGCUGUCAGAAGCCAUCUUUGCUCUACUGGUCCCAGGUGUGGGCUCCAGAUCCAAAGAGCCAUCAGGGUUCACCAAGAUGAACACUGAGCGGGCCCUUGUAGGUCUGAGGCAGAGGAAAGCAGCAACAGCAGCAGCGGCUCGGUGCCUACCCCCCUACCCCCUCAGUGGUCUUCAGCCCAGAAGCCAAAAGCACAGCUACUCCUUUGGGAUGCAGUAGAAUGCCUCCUGGUCCAGGUACCCCAGGAACAUGAGCAGCAACCCCCGGGACCCUAAAUCACCAUACAUGAGCAGAUAUCCUCCUGCACACUGGAAUUUUGUUUAGCUUGAGCUUGUGCAAGGCUUGUGCGGGCUGUGGCGGUCUUGACAUCUCUGAGCCUUCAGGGAUUGGUGUGAUGAAGAUAGCCCACUUAGGACUCAGCAUUUCAGUCUCUUUUUCUUUACACGCUGACCAGCUAUGGAUGUUUGUGUUGAUUACCACCUACUGCAAGAAGCACCUUCCCUGCACUGAUGAUGGUUGGGCACUGCACUGAUCUGUUCAGCAUGGCCACAGAAAGGACAGUAUGACAUGGUUUCCUGUCCAGGAGCAGAGCCAACACAACAUGGGACUUCUUGAGCGCUGACAGUUACUGUAGGCAUAAGGAACACUGCGCUGAGUACUUGGUAUCACAUAUUCUGUUGUAGCUAUUAUGACCCUGAGUGAUCAACACAAUGUUUUUCAACAAAUUUCAGCAAGAAGAUCUACAGUCCUCUGUGAAGCAUACUGCAACUGUAAUGGCUCACAGCUACAGUGAAGGGGCUCCCAGCUAAGCAUCUGCAUCGAGUCUCAGAAAAGGCUUGGGCCUUGGACUUCUGAACAACAUUGGAACUGUCAAUAUUUGGGGGACUCUUGGGGACAGUCUAUGUACAAUUUGUAUUGUGAAAUGGCCAUAAACCUUUCCGGGCUAAGAGCAGAACACGAUCAUCUGAAAAUACAAUCUCCUUGACAAGCCCAGGUUUUAGACCCUUGGUACCCAGCUUAGGAGGUGGGAGAACUUAGGUAGAGAAAGCAGAUCACUGGACAUGGACCUUUGAAGACCCAGCAUUGGGUCUCAUCACUUACUGUUUGCCAUCCACCAUGAGGUGAGUAGCCUCUGUCACAUGUUCCUGCUGCAUGGUAUUCGGCUUCAUCCAGUUUUAUCAAGAACUAACGCAGUCAGACCAUGGACACAG